rnacentral:rRNA from 1 species
UACAGAGGGGGCAAGCGUUGUUCGGAAUUACUGGGCGUAAAGGGCGCGUAGGCGGCCUUCUAAGUCGAACGUGAAAUCCCCGGGCUCAACCCGGGAACUGCGUCCGAUACUGGAAGGCUUGAAUCCGGGAGAGGGAUGUGGAAUUCCAGGUGUAGCGGUGAAAUGCGUAGAUAUCUGGAGGAACACCGGUGGCGAAGGCGGCAUCCUGGACCGGCAUUGACGCUGAGGCGCGAAGGCCAGGGGAGCAAACGGG